ensembl:miRNA
UGAUCUUGAAGGAGUUUUUACUUUCGGUUAUCUAGCUUUAUGAAGA